rnacentral:lncRNA from 1 species
AUGCGGUGACCGCAUCCAGCAUAACUAGCGCGUCCAGAGAUGCAACCUCUCUUAUCAUCACUCAGUGCCUGGGUUUACCUCCACUGUACCCUCACCCCACCAAACCCCUGUCUGUACAUUAUGCCCUGAAUCUAUUCUACCACAACCAGAAAUCUGCUCCUUUUAUUCUCUGUCCCCAACACACUAGACAACCAGUUUUGAUAGCCUUUAGCCGUACCCUCAUCCUACUCCUCCUCUGCUCCUCGGGUAAUAUGGAGGUUAAUCCAGGCCCUGCAUGUCCCAAGGCACUCUCAUUUGUUGACUUCUGUAACUGAAAAAGCCUUGGUUUCAUGCAUGUUAACAUCAGAAGCCUCCUCCCUAAGUUUGUUUUCCUCACUGCUUUAGCACACUCCGCCAACCCUGAUGUCCUUGCCGUGUCUGAAUCCUGGCUUAGGAAGGCCACCAAAAAUUCUGAGAUUUCCAUACCCAACUACAACAUUUUCAGUCAAGAUAGAACUGCCAAAGGGGAGGAGUUGCAAUCUAUUCCAGAGAUAGCCUGCAAAGUUCUGUCAUACUUUCCAGGUCUAUGUCCAAACAGUUUGAGCUUCUAAUUUAAAAAAAUGAAACUCUCCAGUCUCUCACUGUUGCUGCCUGUUAUAGACCUCCCUCUGCUCCCAGCUGUGCCGUGGACACCAUAUGUGAAUUGAUUGACCCCCAUCUAUCUUCAGAGUUUGUUCUGUUAGGUGACCUAAACUGGGAUAUGGCUUAACACCCCGGCAGUCCUACAAUCUAAGCUAGAUGCCCUCAAUCUCACACAAAGUAUCAAGGAACCCACCAGGAACAACCCUAAAUCCGUAAACAUGGGCACCCUCAUAAAUAUUAUCCUGACCAACUUGCCCUCCAAACCACUCUACUGUUUUCAAUCAGGAUCUCAGCAAUCACUGCCUCAUUGCCUGCAUCUGCUAUGAGUCCGUGGUCAAACGACCACCCCUCAUCAUUGUCAAACGCUCCCUGAAACACUUGUGCAAGCAGGCCUUUUAAUCGACCUGGCCCGGGUAUCCUGGAAGGAUAUUGACCUCAUCCUGUCAGUCGAGGAUGCCUGGUCGUUCUUUAAAAGUAAUUUCCUCACCAUCUUAAAUAAGCAUGCCCCUUUCAAAAAAUGUAGAACUAAGAACAGAUAUAGCCCUUGGUUCACUCCAGACCUGACUGCCCUCGACCAGCACAAAAACAUCCUGUGGCGGACUGCUCUAGCAUCGAAUAGUCCCCAUGAUAUGCAACUUUUCAGGAAAGCCAGAUACCAAUACAUGCAGUCAGUCAGGAAAGCAAAGACCAGCUUUUUCAAACAGAAAUUUGCAUCCUGUAGCUCUAACUCCAAAAGGUUUUGCGACACUUUAAAGUCCAUGGAGAAUAAGAGCACCUCCUCCCAGCUGCCCACUGCACUGAGGCUAGGAAACACUGUCACCACCGAUAAAUUUACGUUAAUCGAUCAUUUCAAUAAGCAUUUUUCUACGGCUGGCCAUGCUUCCAUCUGGCUACCCCUACCUCGGGCCAACAUCUCAGCACCCCCUGCAGCAACUUGCCCAAACCCCCACCCCUGCUUCUUCACCCAAAUCCAGAAAAAACUGCAAAAGCUGGAUCCCUAUAAAUCAGCUGGGCUAGACAAUCUGGACCCUCUCUUUCUAAAAUUAUCCGCCAAAAUUGUUGCAACCCCUAUUACUAGCCUAUUCAACCUCUCUUUCGUAUCGUCUGAGAUCCCCAAAGAUUGGAAAGCUGCCGUGGUCACCCCCCUCUUCAAAGGGGAAGACACUCUAGACCCAAACUGUUAUAGACCUAUAUCCAUCCUGCCCUGCCUUUCUAAAAUCUUUGAAAGCCAAGUUAAUAAACAGAUCACCGACCAUUUCGAAUCCCACCGUACCUUCUCACUAUGCAAUCUGGUUUCCGAGCUGGUCAUGGGUGCACCUCAGCCACGCUCAAAGUCCUAAAUGGUAUCAUAACUGUCACGGCUCCUCCUCUGCAGUGCAGGGGUGGUUCCCCCUGCAGGCAGAGGAGGGUCGUUAGUGAUUGCAGCUGGUGUGAUUGGAGCCACCUGGGCUCAGGGUAUUUAACCAAGUGCUCCACUAACCUCUCUCUGGUCUGGCUGGUCUGGCUCCUCGCUGAGCUGCUGGCUCGCUCGCUGGGCUGCUGGCUCGCUCGCUGGGCUUUCUCCCUUUCUCCCUUUCUCCCUUUCUCCCUUUCUCCCUGCUCCUCCAGGCUAUGAGCCGGCCUGUGACAAGUGGGGGCUCAUCCACAAGUGGGGGCUCAUCCACAAGUGGGGGCUCAUCCGCAAGUUGUGACAAGUGGGGGCUCAUCCGCAAGUUGUGACAAGUGGGGGCUCAUCCGCAAGUUGUGACAAGUGGGGGCUCAUCCGCAAGUUAAGUGCUGUACCAUUGAGGAUCUGCUGCAUGGUUUGUCGUAUUGGAUCCUCUGCUCAGCUGUGGGAACAUCGCCUGGUGACGUCAUUGGCCUGCAGCUCCACUGUAGUCAGCCAGGUAUCUCUCUGGUAGAGAGGCAAGGAAUCAGCAACGGUGGCAUCAUUGCUUAGAGACUGAAACACACAGGAGGACCUCAGAAGAGGACUUUGAGCCCCAGGAGGACCACAGCGCUGAGAGUGAUGAUUCUGACAGAGGGAGCGAUGGAGAGGGGUCAGAGGAUGGCGGAAACGAUGGAGAGGGAUCAGAGGUUGAAGGAAGUGAAGAGGAUGGAGAGAGUGAAGGGGAACAGGCUGCAGAUGGAGGGAGCGAAGGAGAGAAAGAAGAGGGUGAAGGCAACAGGGAAGUAGAUGAUGUAGACACCAACCCCAAUGCUGGAUGGGCGGAGGCCAUGGCCAAGAUUCUGCAGAAGAAGACACCGGAGAGCAAACCCAGCAUCCUGCUGAAGAACAAACAGCUGGACAAGAUGAAGGAGAAGCAGAAGAAGGAGAAUCUGGAGAGGAAGAAACAGAUUGAUAAAAAGCGAGCAUGGGAGAUGAUGUGUCGAGAGAAACCAGACUUUGUAAAAGACCGAGAGAAUGAGAGGAAUCUGCAGAGAGUUGCUACCAGGGGAGUAGUACAGCUGUUCAACGCUGUGAGGAAGCACCAGAAAACGGUGGAUGAGAAGGUGAAGGAGGCGGGUGGCUCGGAGAGGAAGAAGGCCAAGCUCCUCUCCUCUGUCUCCAAGAAAGACUUCAUCAACGUACUGCGGGGCACAGAGGGGGGCAGCGAGGUCGUCACCAAGACAGAGAGACAGACGACUGGCAGGGAGGCAGAAGAGAAGCCAGCUUGGAGCGUGCUGAGAGACGACUUCAUGAUGGGAGCCUCCAUGAAGGACUGGGACAAGGAGAGCGACGAGGAGGGGGGCGAGGAGGAGGCACCAGGGGGUGCAGAGGACUACAACAGCGAGUCGGACUGAGCAGACAGGCCCAUCUGUGUAAGUAUGUGUAUGACUGAGCACACCCAGGAGUGUGUGUACACUAGACCGUGCCUUUGAGUCCACUGUGAGGAAUGGAGCUGAAGGGUCCUGCAUCGCUGAGAUCAGCUCAACCCAGCCUCCCUCGCCUCUUCCCACAGAGGCAGCCCUACCAGGCCCAAAGACCCCUCUUUUGAAUUUUCUAUAUGGAACCAGGAGCUGAAGAAAGACUGGGGUCAAGGUCCUGUUCUGGCGCACAAUUAUUUGCUGCAGGAUCCCUAGUUUGUUUAAUGCUGGUGCUCUCUGGCUUGUAAAUGUCCAACUGAACAUUUUUCUGUCUGAACUCUGUUGUGUAUAUAGACCUUUUUUCAUAACAGUUGCAUGUCCCUCAAUAAAAAGCCAGUUGAUAAACAUUUCCUUUUUCAGUUUUGUGAUUAGUUGUUUUUAGGUGAACUAAGGGCGAAUGUAGCCUUUCACUGAAUACUAAUCUAGUUAUAGUACUAGUUAUAGCACUAGUUUAACUAAAGACUGUCAAUGUGUUUAUACCAUGUGUACAAAACAUGCACACCUGCUAUUUCCAUGACAGACUGACCAGGUGAAUCCAGGUGAAAGCUAUGAUCCCUUAUUGAUGUCACUUGUUAAUUCCACUUCAAUCAGUAGAUGAAGAGGAGGAGACAGGUUAAAGAAGGAUUUUUAAGCCUUGAGACAUGGACUGUGUAUGUGUGCCAUUCAAGGGGUGAAUGGGCAAGACACAAAAGAUUUAAGAACUGAAACUGGGUUUUUCCCGCUCAACAGUUUCCUGUGUGUAUCAAGAAUGGUCCACCGCCCAAAGGACAUCCAACCAACUUGACACAACUGUGGGAAGCAUUGGAGUCAACAUGGGCCAGCAUCCCUGUGGAACGCUUUUGGCACCUUGUGGAGGCUGUUCUGAGGUCAAAAGAGAGAUUGGUGCAACUCAAUAUUAGGAAGUUGUACUUAAUCUUUUGUACAGUGUAUCUAGUUUAUUUCAAUUAUAUAUACUGUAUAUAUUUUGUAUGUGUUAUGGUUGUAGUUAUCAUAUGACAAACAAAAUACAUGGUAGACAUGCUCCCUGUCUGUCAGAGAAUGUGAGAUGAUACCCCUCAGAGGAAAUAUGUGUGUGCCAGAGAGCACGGAACAGCUGGUGACAUAGAGAUGCUGUCCCCACUACAUAAACUUGUAAUGUAAAUGUAAAAUGUAAUAAACUUCUCGUUUUGUGACGCUCACCCCGUUUUACACACUGCUUGCCUGCGUGUGUCUACUGGACAGUUGCCAAGGAGACGGCCCUCGCCUCAGAGUGACCCUGAG